GGGUUAGUAGGUUGGUCAUGCCUCUGGCAUGUACUGGUCUCACUGACUCCUCCUUCCUGAUGAACCUUAAUGACAUUAAUUUGGUGUUUUGGGGAAUUUGGACUGUUACUUUGAAAAAAUUAGAGUGUUUAAAGCAAGCUAACGCUUGAAUACAUUAGCAUGGAAUAAUGAAAUAGGACGUUCAAUCCUAUUUUGUUGGUUUCUAGGAUUGACGUA
rnacentral:rRNA from 1 species